rnacentral:rRNA from 1 species
AUAGCGUAUAUUAAAGUUGUUGCAGUUAAAAAGCUCGUAGUUGAAUUUUGGACCUGGCUGGGUGGUCUUGCCGCAAGGUAAGCACUGCCUCUGGUUGGGUCUUUCCUUCUGGGGAACCUGUGUGCCCUUAAUUGAGUGCGCAGGGGAUCCAGGACUUUUACUUUGAAAAAAUUAGAGUGUUUAAAGCAGGCUUUCGCUUGAAUACAUUAGCAUGGAAUAAUAGAAUAGGACUUUGGUUCUAUUUUGUUGGUUUCUAGGACCGAAGUAAUGAUUAAUAGGGAUAGUUGGGGGCAUUAGUAUUUAAUUGUCAGAGGUGAAAUUCUUGGACCGUCGCAAGACGAACUACUG